UACGGAGGGUGCAAGCGUUGUCCGGAAUCACUGGGCGUAAAGCAGGUGCAGGCGGCUUGUUGUGUCGGGUGUGAAAUCCCAAGGCUUAACCUUGGAACUGCGCUCGAAACUGGCAAGCUUGAGUACGGUAGGGGAUGGUGGAAUUCUGGGUGUAGAGGUGAAAUUCGUAGAUAUCCAGAAGAAUACCGGUGGCGAAGGCGACCAUCUGGCCCGUUACUGACGCUCAGACCUGAAAGCGUGGGGAGCAAACAGA
rnacentral:rRNA from 1 species